GAAUUCACCCCAAAACCUGCCAUAUUUACACAGGCCUAUUAAAUUGGAAUAUAAAACAUGUAAAUGUCUCAACAGCUUUUUGUAUCAUGGGAAAUGAGAGCAAUUCUUUCUAUUGGAUUCAGAAAGAAAAUGAAAAGUCUUUUGAAUAUCACAUCGUGAGCCUAGUGUGAGGCAAGGAAAAGAAACAUCCCCUUUUGCAGAUCUCUGCACAUUAAGAUCAACAUUGCAAUAUUGAAGUGAGUAUGGAACUGUGUACCAAAACCCCAUGGGAACUAAAAUAGAGUAAAAAUCGGAUUGUUUAUUUCUCCAUCUUAAUAUAUCCUGGGUGAUUUAGGGCUUUGCUGUACAAUUAUCCCUAAUCAUUUAAACAAUGACAUUGAUUUUCUGGUUAGAAAAAUGUAAAACUUUGUGUUUCUGGGGCCUUGGUAAUGCAGAUGAAUUUGGAGAGAGGUGUAUGUGUUAAGCCCUUGUCUGUAUGUGAUCCAAUAUAAUGAAUAGUAGACUCAAGGCAGGAAAAUGAAAGAGCAAUUGUCUUAUCAGAUCUUUCCAGGAGU